rnacentral:rRNA from 1 species
UGUGACAUACCACUUGUUAGCGACGUACGGCGGAUCAGCCCGCUCCCGGUAAAACGGGACGGCCCGCCAGAGGACCCCUAAACUCUGUUUCUAUAUGUAACUUCUGAGUAAAACCAUAAAUAAAUCAAAACUUUCAACAACGGAUCUCUUGGUUCUGGCAUCGAUGAAGAACGCAGCAAAAUGCGAUAAGUAAUGUGAAUUGCAGAAUUCAGUGAAUCAUCGAAUCUUUGAACGCACAUUGCGCCCGCCAGUAUUCUGGCGGGCAUGCCUGUUCGAGCGUCAUUUCAACCCUCAAGCACAGCUUGGUGUUGGGACUCGCGUUAAUUCGCGUUCCUCAAAUUGAUUGGCGGUCACGUCGAGCUUCCAUAGCGUAGUAGUAAAACCCUCGUUACUGGUAAUCGUCGCGGCCACGCCGUUAAACCCCAACUUCUGAAUGUUGACCUCGGAUCAGGUAGGAAUACCCGCUGAACUUAAGCAUAUCAA